UAGAACGUACGAAUGCCUUCCCCCUGAAGUUGCUGCAGAAAAAUGAUAAUUUAUUGUCAAACUUGAGUUUCUAUAUCCCAUGCCUAAAAAAUUGACGUGUGUUUUGAUGUCAUCGUUGGUCAUCGUUGUAAACAUUAAACAGUUUAAUGUUUACCAUUACAUUAAAGUUAAAAAUACAUUAAAAUUUUUAAAAAAUGGUAAUGAAUGGUGAAAAAAAGUUAGUGAUUAAAGUGAGGUGACAAAUAUUUUUAUAUUGCAUCAGUAUAAAAGUUUCAUGAAGCGGCCGAAUUAAUUGAUCAUAGGAAAAUUGUAUAAAGAAAACAAUGUAGGGACAAUUUUCAUCAUUGCAUCAACAAUUUUCCAAAAAUGAAGCACUACCUAUUCGUGGCACGCGAGGUUGUCAAAUGCGAAAAAUGCGUUGUCCUUGGUUUUCAAUCCUGGGCGAAGCACGUACCCUAGAACAAUUGGAACGAAAUGAUGGCGAAUUGUCUCUUCUGCAAAAGGAGAAUGCCAUCAUUGAUGGGAGAAACAUUUCCCCGCACCAAAACGGAACCGAAUGUGUUAUAUAACUGGUGAGUUCUUUGGCUUGCUGAUUAUUUGCCUGCUCGAU